rnacentral:rRNA from 1 species
GACGAACGCUGGCGGCGUGCCUAAUACAUGCAAGUCGAACGCAGUGGGGACGGGUGAGUAACACGUUGGUAACCUCCCAUCAGAGGGGAUAACACUUGGAAACAGGUGCUAAACCGACAUUGAUGGAUGGACCCGCGGUGCAUUGGCUAGUUGGUGGGGUAACGGCUCACCAAGGCCACGAGGCAUCGCCGACCGGAGAGGGUGAGCGGCCGAACGGGGACUGAGACACGGCCCAGACUCCUACGGGAGGCAGCAGUAGGGAAGCGUCGGCAAUGGACGAAAGUCUGACCGAGCAACGCCGCGUGAGUGAAGAAGGUUUUCGGAGCGUAAAACUCUGUUGUUAGAGAAGCGGUAUCUAACCAGAAAGCCACGGCUAACUACGUGCCAGCAGCCGCGGUAAUUC